ACACCUACCUACGCCGAAAGAUCGGUUUA
rnacentral:sRNA from 1 species